AUGGCUAGUUGUAUAUGGUGUACAUUUUUGGGGAGGAAAUUAUACAACACAGCAGAGCUCAGAAACCGCUUCGGCGAAGAUAUUUCAUUUGCGAAGUUGGAUUAUCUCUACCAAGAUAACGGCGAAAGGAAGAUGUUUUGGAUCUCAUGGUGUUUGGCGCUGCGUUUCAUACCGGGGAUACCGUUUUGGUCUUUCUUUUCUCAAAUAUAUACUUUUCUCUUUUGUAAAGGUGUUUUUGUCUGGGUUGAUUGGUUUGUAAGUUGCGCACUAAUAAAUUGGGUGGUGCCAUAUAUUGUGAGAGGGUUCUGUUUUUUGCACUGA
rnacentral:rRNA from 1 species